AGCAGGGAACCAGGACCUUUACUUUGAAAAAAUUAGAGUGUUCAAAGCAGGCUCGACGCCGGAAUAUAUUAGCAUGGAAUAAUAAAAUAGGACGUGUGGUUCUAUUUUGUUGGUUUUUGGAACCGCCGUAAUGAUUAAUAGGGACAGUCGGGGGCAUUAGUACUCACAUGCUAGAGGUGAAAUUCUUGGAUUUUGUGAAGACUAACUUCUGCGAAAGCAUUUGCCAAGGAUGUUUUCAUUAAUCAAGAACGAAGGUUAGGGUAUCGAAAACGAUUAGAUACCGUUGUAGUCUUAACAGUAAACUAUGCCGACUAGGGAUCGGGCGAUGUUCUUCUUUUGACUCGCUCGGCACCUUACGAGAAAUCAAAGUUUUUGGGUUCUGGGGGGAUUAUGGUCGCAAGGCUG
rnacentral:rRNA from 1 species